rnacentral:rRNA from 1 species
UCUAAACCUUUCUUGCGAUGCUAGUGWGCGUUUUCGACGGAUACGACUACAAUAUCUCAAUUUGUUGUCAUUACAGAUGAAUGAGUGAUGUAAUUCGUACGAUCAUUCAUGGAAAUCGAGGGUUUUUAGUUGUUUUCGAACCCGCUGCGCACCUACAGCUCAUUUACAGGUCAAUUAUGAUUUAAAUUUGAAAAUUUGUCGUGCAUUCCCUAUGAAAUCACUUGUAUAGUAUCAAAAAGCGUUCAAAACAMGAUCCGUCCCACGAACCGUCCCACUUUUUUUUUUUUUUCUUUCCUAUUUGUUUCUUUUUUAUUUAUUAAUUGAUAAAUCGAAAAGGCUUUCGCAAAAUGAGUUAUAUACAAGUAGUGUGCGAAUG